rfam:Ophiocordyceps unilateralis strain SC16a Contig_379, whole genome shotgun sequence.
ACAUACGGCCAUACCUACGAGAGAAUACGGGAUCCCGUCCGCUCUCCCCUAGUCAAACUUGUAAGGGGCAGAUUAGUAGUUGGGUCGGUGACGACCAGCGAACACCGGCUGCUGUAUGUU